AUUUGACAACCUUUUUAGGUUCUACCAAUUUUCCUUUACCCUUAGUUCACUUUUUUCCAUGCGAUUUAUUUUUCAGGGGCUCAUCACUAUCUUCCUCUUCCUUAUCUUCUAUUGGUAGCUGUACAGGCUCAUUAUCUUUUUCAGUAGUUGCAAAAGUACCAUCAUAUGUGGGAAGAUAAGACUAAAAAAAAUAUUUUCCUCCAUGUACAUUGACUUUCUCUUUGAUCACUAGCUAA
rnacentral:lncRNA from 1 species